CUUUUGACAAGAAGCAGUUUAUUGCUUACAUCAAGCGCUACAUCAAGAACCUCACUGCCAAGCUUGAAGGUGAGGAGCUAGAUGCUUUCAAGAAGAACGUUGAGUCUGCCACGAAGUAUCUUCUUAGCAAGCUCAAGGACCUUCAGUUGUAAGUUCUCUCUUUGCCUUACUCGAAAGUGCAGGCACUGGUGUAUGUAAAACAAUGUCUCACCCUUGAUUAUCAUUGAUCUGUCCAGACACGUUAAUAUUUUAUUCUAACAUUAUGAUAAUUCCAGAUGCUGGUAAUUUAUUCUAUAGAGCUUAUCACUGACCGAAAAGCAAUUAUAUUUUGGGAAGGUAGUAAUAAUCUAUCCAUUCAACUUAGGGUACUUCUAAAACUGCUCCUAUUGACCUGUUUCAGCUUUGUGGGCGAGAGCAUGCAUGAUGAUGGCAGCGUGGUGUUUGCCUACUACAGGGAGGGAGCUGCUGAUCCAACUUUCCUCUAUUUCGCUCAUGGGCUGAAAGAGGUCAAGUGCUAAUCGCACUGUAUGCUAAUAUCUAUGUGGUCGUCAGUAUUUUUGCUCUGCUCUAUGGUUGUCAGUCGACUCUCCAAUGCUUGUGU
rnacentral:lncRNA from 1 species